rnacentral:tRNA from 1 species
GCGGGCAUCGUAUAGUGGCUAUUAUAUGGCAUUGCCAAUGCUAAGACGGGAGUUCGAUUCUCCUUGCCCGCUCAA